AAAGAUUUAGUCCCUGAGAUAUAUAUAUUAAAAAAAGUCAUAAAAAUGCACUCACCAAACAGAGCAAUUCAUUAAGCUAGUAUAUAUAUAGAAUUUGAGUUAUCCCAGUGAAACUGACAGCUGGUUAAAUUUUGUGUGUCAUUUUAGAGUGGCUGCACUUCCUCCCCAGGAGCUGCUUAAAAUAGAUACUGUUUACACUUGGUGGCAGGAUCAUAUCACCCUGCAAUGAAAAUUUCAGUCGGAGCUUGGAUUCUACGCAGUGGAACAUAGAUAAGUUUAAGUUUAGCUUCAGGUGGAGCAAGAUCCUCUAAGAAGCUCUGUUGUCUUCCUGACUGUGGCCCCAUGAAGUGACCAUGUACGCACCUAGUAAGUCUUUCACUUUCAUCUUUCACUCAUUACUGUCAGUACAUAGAGCUUAUGAUUUGAAUNAAUUCAUCUUUCACUCAUUACUGUCAGUACAUAGAGCUUAUGAUUUGAAUGACCGACUUCUGGGUUCAUUUUCUAUUUAGGAAUUGAUGUUUGGAGAUCUGUGGCCAAACUCUGAGCUGAGGGCCUCAACUCCCAUUGACUUCAAUGUGAGUGGAGGGCGCUAAGCACAUCUUGAGAGGCACUCAGCACCUUGCUUGACUGGAUCCUUGUCGGUUACCAUACUUUAUGAUUUUCUUAAGAAGGAGAGCUACCUUGAUGCUGCAGUUUACCUGCUUACGUGAGGCUUAUGGCAGUGAAGAUGAGAGCAUCUGCUACUGUUAGGAGUAUAACAUUUUAGUUAUCUGUGCUUUUGGCCACACGGUCCCAGUUGAUUGUAGCUACUUCAGCGCUCUGUGGAAGGAAAGGCCACCAUAGAAAGAGAACAGGUCUAGCCUAUUGAUGUCUUUGAAGGUAAGAACGGGUGCCUUGACUUGGAUCCAGAAUCAGUAAGAUGAGCAGUUGUGGGAUGUAGACAGUGAAGUCUUA
rnacentral:lncRNA from 1 species